AUACCAGCACCCCGAGUGGUCGGGACGAUUAUUGGGCCUAAAGCAUCCGUAGCCGGUCCUGCAAGUCUUCCGUUAAAUCCAGCUGCUUGACAGAUGGGCCGCGGGAGAUACUACAGGGCUAGGAGGCGGGAGAGGCAAGCGGUACUUUAUGGGUAGGGGUAAAAUCCGCUGAUCCAUAGAAGACCACCAGUGGCGAAGGCGGCUUGCCAGAACGCGCUCGACGGUGAGGGAUGAAAGCUGGGGGAGCAAACCGGAUUAGAUACCCGGGUAGUCCCAGCUGUAAACGAUGCAGACUCGGUGAUGGGUUGGCCUCGCGCCAACCCAGUGCCGCAGGGAAGCCGUUAAGUCUGCCGCCUGGGGAGUACGGUCGCAAGACUGAAACUUAAAGGAAUUGACGGGG
rnacentral:rRNA from 1 species